AAACACUUUGUGUAUCUGCUGUAAAUAUGGACGGAAAAGAAUAUGUAGGCUUUAGGUGGGCAUUCUGUGAGUUUGAGGUUGCCCACAAAGGACCUAUGCACAUUG
rfam:Citrus clementina cultivar Clemenules unplaced genomic scaffold scaffold_1, whole genome shotgun sequence.